UGGUGCCAACAAGCGGCGAAGACGGCGAACUCGGCAGAAACGCCCAGAAGCCGCUGUGGCCGCUCUCGACGUGGCCGGCCUACAACGUUGCGCAAUGGCCGUGCACAUUGCGCAACCUCUACCCCCCCGCCCUGACUGCUGUUGACGUGCGGCGUCAACUCGUACGGGUGCAGGUCCGUACGGGCGUAUAGCCGUUUCAACACGGGCAAACAGCAACACCACAAUCUUUGUGUUUCUCUUGUAGGUGGGGACUUUGUAGCAUGGCGAGGACACUGAUAAGAGGCGGGAAGCUGAGCCAGAGACCUGCAUCUCAAGUGAGAGCAAACGAGUGGCUGCCUCGUGCGCGGUUCAGACUCAAUGAAGCGCGAGUUACGACCAUCACCCAUCUUCCGAGGCCGUCGGCUGGAGCUCCAACAGGCACCAUGUUUUAAACGUCAGCGGCUGUGUCAUUUGUCAAGAUCCUGAUGAAACAACUAAUUGGAUCUUGCAUGGCUCAAACACUGCGGCAGUAGCGAUGGGCCGAGUCUGAGGAAGUGCUUACAAUGCUACAGCCAAAUGAAUGGACGUGUAUUUGUGGGGAGUGGUGGCGCAGUGGUUAGCGCAGUGGGCGACAAAUCAGACGAUCCGAACAUCGGUGACGAAUAUCCAAACCAGUCCUGGGCCUCCCCUAGGAUUACUCAGCCCUAUAUUAGUCACUGGUGCAGUGUGGAUACAUCAGCACCGGGGAGACAUCGGCAGCUGGGCGUGGUAUUGGCCACCCACCCCUCGUGUGCCGUGUUGCCCUUAUAAGUGCUUGCUACCAAAACGUCUGUUUCGCCUAUAAAAGGGACAGGUCUUUGGAGAGUGAUGACACAGUGGUUAGCGUACUGUGCGACAGAAUGUGGCUACCUGAGUUCAAUUUGCAGCCACGGCGGCUAACAUCAGUGGUGAGUGAUAUUUGAACCGGUCCUGGCACCACUCCGCUCUCUUCACAUUUGCACUGCCGAGCAUGGUGAAUUAUGGUCAAACAUCCCCCAAGCCCAACUAUAGGUAUACUCAGCCUGAAAUAAAUUCAGCAAACUGUCAUACCCAGAUUUAUGUCUCCCCUUUUACGUUGUUUCGCAAAUACGUCGUCAAUUUAUAAAUACCAUGACCUGAUUUGUGUCACUUCAACCCACACUCACGUCACUGACGGCAUCGUCUGCCAUCUCUCGUAUCUGUCGCCUUUCAGCCUUCGCCUCUACCCACCGUAUACACCAACUUUGUGUCGCGCAUAAAAAAGUACUGUACUGUGGAGGACAAUACAGGAAAUCCCUCGAUUUACGAACGUUCGGUUUACAAAAUUUCGCCUUCACGCAAUUGACAAGCUAUGGCCACUUUUUGAUUAACUAAAUCGAAUUUUGGCGUUUGCGAAAUGUCAUGACGGCGCGCGCCACGAGGCCGUCAAACAAGAAGCACCCGGGAGGCUGCAGCGUCCAUCUACGGCAGCGUUACGGUGUCCCUGUGGCGCAACAGUGACACCUCCAUGUCAGUUUAAUACAUACAGUGAGGGAAAAAAGUAUUUGAUCCCCUGCUGAUUUUGUACGUUUGCCCACUGACAAAGAAAUGAUCAGUCUAUAAAUUUAAUGGUAGGUUUAUUUGAACAGUGAGAGACAGAAUAACAACAAAAUCCCAAAAAACGCAUGUCAAAAAUGUUAUAAAUUGAUUUGCAUUUUAAUGAGGGAAAUAAGUAUUUGACCCCUCUGCAAAACAUGACUUGGUGGCAAAACCCUUGUUGGAAAUCACAGAGGUCAGACGUUUCUUGUAGUUGGCCACCAGGUUUGCACACAUCUCAGGAGGAAUUUCGUCCCACUCCUCUUUGCAGAUCUUCUCCAAGUCAUUAAGGUUUCGAGGCUGACGUUUGGCAACUCGAACCUUCAGCUCCCUCCACAGAUUUUCUAUGGGAUUAAGGUGUGGAGACUGUUUAGGCCACUCCAGGACCUUAAUGUGCUUCUUCUUGAGCCACUCCUUUGUUGCCUUGGCCCUGUGUUUUGGUUCAUUAUCAUGCUGGAAUACCCAUCCACGACCCAUUUUCAAUGCCCUGGCUGAGGGAAGGAGGUUCUCAACCAAUAUUUGACGGUACAUGGCCCCGUGCAUUGUCCCUUUGAUGCGGUGAAGUUGUCCUGUCCCCUUAGCAGAAAAACACCCCCAAAGCAUAAUGUUUCCACCUCCAUGUUUGAUGGUGGGGAUGGUGUUCUUGGGGUCAUAGGCAGCAUUCCUCCUCCAAACAUGGCGAGUUGAGUUGAUGCCAAAGAGCUCCAUUUUGGUCUCAUCUGACCACAACACUUUCACCCAGUUGUUCUCUGAAUCAUUCAGAUGUUCAUUGGCAAACUUCAGACUGACAUGUAUAUGUGCUUUCUUGAG